UACUCGAUAAGGGAUUUAAAUUGUUCUCAUUCCAAUUGCCAGACCUGUAAAGGCCCGGCAUUGUUAUUUAUUGUCACUACCUCCCUGUGUCAGGAUUGGGUAAUUUACGCGC
rnacentral:rRNA from 1 species